rnacentral:rRNA from 1 species
UACGUAGGGGGCAAGCGUUGUCCGGAAUUAUUGGGCGUAAAGAGCUCGUAGGCGGUCUGUCGCGUCGGCUGUGAAAACCUGAGGCUCAACCUCGGGCCUGCAGUCGAUACGGGCAAACUAGAGUACUGCAGGGGAGACUGGAAUUCCUGGUGUAGCGGUGAAAUGCGCAGAUAUCAGGAGGAACACCGGUGGCGAAGGCGGGUCUCUGGGCAGUAACUGACGCUGAGGAGCGAAAGCGUGGGGAGCGAACAGG